rnacentral:pre_miRNA from 1 species
GAUUUCAACUGAAAAAGUCAUCAACAGCAAACUUGUAUAACUCAUCAAGAUCCAUAACUUUUAUUUUGGUCAUUUUUUCAUUCGACAAAGUGAUAGUAAUAUUCUUAACGAAUUUAACAUAUAUCUCAUAUGGUUUUAUAAAUUACAAGAGAGAUGUAAAUUUUGUAAACAAUGUUACUAUUACUUUGUCCGAUGAAUAAAUGAUCAAAAUAAAAGUUGUAUAUCUUGAUGAGUUCUACAACUUUUGUUCGCGAUGUUUUCAGCUGAAAUU